rnacentral:rRNA from 1 species
GUGGGGAAUAUUGGGCAAUGGGGGCAACCCUGACCCAGCGACGCCGCGUGAGGGAAGACGGCCUUCGGGUUGUAAACCUCUUUUGUACGGGAAGAAGGAAGUGACGGUACUGUACGAAUAAGUCCCGGCUAACUACGUGCCAGCAGCCGCGGUAAUACGUAGGUGGCAAGCGUUAUCCGGAUUUACUGGGUGUAAAGGGCGUGUAGGCGGGAAAGCAAGUCAGAUGUGAAAACUAUGGGCUCAACCCAUAGCCUGCAUUUGAAACUGUUUUUCUUGGGUACUGGAGAGGCAGAUGGAAUUCCUAGUGUAGCGGUGAAAUGCGUAGAUAUUAGGAGGAACACCAGUGGCGAAGGCGGCCUGCUGGACAUUAACUGACGCUGAGGCGCGAAAGCGUGGGGAGCAAACAGGAUUAGAUACCCGUGUAGUCC